ACGGAAGGCAGCAGUGAGGAAUAUUGGUCAAUGGACGCAAGUCUGAACCAGCCAUGCCGCGUGCAGGAAUAAGGCCCUAUGGGUCGUAAACUGCUUUUGUGGUGGAGCAAUAAGUCGUACGUGUACGGCGAUGAGAGUACAUCACGAAUAAGCAUCGGCUAACUCCGUGCCAGCAGCCGCGGUAAUACGGAGGAUGCAAGCGUUAUCCGGAUUUAUUGGGUGUAAAGGGUGCGUAGGCUGUGGUCCAAGUCAGGGGUGAAAGCCCGGAGCUCAACUCCGGAACUGCCUUUGAUACUGGAUUGCUGGAAUACGGAUGCCGUGGGAGGAAUGAGUAGUGUAGCGGUGAAAUGCAUAGAUAUUACUCAGAACACCGAUUGCGAAGGCAUCUCACGAAUCCGUCAUUGACGCUGAGGCACGAAAGCGUGGGGAUCAAACAGGAUUAGAUACCCUGGUA
rnacentral:rRNA from 1 species